GGAAGACUGCGCGCUCUUUCUAACCUCACCUCUCUUUCGGCCUGUAUGGCGGCGGGGGUUCGGACGGUCCGGGGCCUGUGGCCGCCUGGCUUCCGACGGCUGGGGCGCAGGGCAGGAGCGCGCGGCCGCCCUGAGUCUAGUGAGGCUGGCCCCGCGGCCGGGCCGGGUCCGAGGCUCCCGGUCCCUGAACGCGUGGAGGGCAGCGGCCUGGUCUGGCCUCCGCCACGUUGUCGGUUUUAAUUUUCGUUCAGGUGAAAGAUGGACGCUUGAAGCAUAGACUGACUGCUGCUAGCUGACUACUUACUAUCUGGGAGCACAAAGAUGACCUAAGGAUGUCCUCGGUGAGGAACUUGACAACUUGAUCUUCGGGUGUUGCUUAGAGUAUUUAAAAUUUCCAGGAUUGCUUAAAAAAAAUACUGCUUUUGGAUAGUCCAUAAAUGUACAUCUAAAACAGUGGGGCUAUAAAUAAAAUAAUUUAAUGUG